GAUGAACGCUGGCGGCGUGCCUAAUACAUGCAAGUCGAGCGAACAGAUGAGGAGCUUGCUCCUCUGACGUUAGCGGCGGACGGGUGAGUAACACGUGGAUAACCUACCUAUAAGACUGGGAUAACUUCGGGAAACCGGAGCUAAUACCGGAUAAUAUAUUGAACCGCAUGGUUCAAUAGUGAAAGACGGUUUUGCUGUCACUUAUAGAUGGAUCCGCGCCGCAUUAGCUAGUUGGUAAGGUAACGGCUUACCAAGGCAACGAUGCGUAGCCGACCUGAGAGGGGGGAUCGGCCAACCGGAAACUGAGAAACGUCCCAAACCCCAAGGGGGGGCAGAAGGAGGAAACCUUCCGCAAUGGGCGAAAGCUUGAGGGAGCAACGCCGGGGGAGUGAGGAAGGUCUGCGGAUCGUAAAACUCUUUUAUUAGGGAAAAAAAAAUGUGUAAGUAACGAUGCCCGUCUUGACGGUACCAAAUCAGAAAGCCACGGCUAACUACGU
rnacentral:rRNA from 1 species